rnacentral:rRNA from 1 species
UACAUGUGGGGCAAGCGUUGUUCGGAAUCACUGGGCAUAAAGGGUGCGUAGGCGGUGGUGCACGUCCUGGGUGAAAUCCUUCGGCCCAACCGGAGGUCUGCCUGGGAUACGGCACUACUUGAGUGCGUGAGGGGUGACUGGAACGCGUGGUGUAGCGGUGAAAUGCGUAGAUAUCACGCGGAAGGCCAACGGCGAAGGCAAGUCACUGGUACGCAACUGACGCUGAGUGCACGAAAGCGUGGGGGAGCAAACAGGAUUAGAUACCCUGGUAGUCCACGCCGUAAACGAUGGGCACUAGAUCGUCGGGGCGCUAUGCCCUGACGGUCGCAGGCAAUUCGCUAAGUGCCCCGCCUGGGGAGUAUGGUCGCAAGGCUGAAACUC